ensembl:lncRNA LINC01685 long intergenic non-protein coding RNA 1685
ACACAGCACAGCUAGUUUCAAAAUUAAACCACAAUGAAAACUGUCACUACUGACAAGGAACUAUGCAAAGACCUUCGGUCUCAGGCCCUUGCUCACUCAGGAGUACCUUGAGACCUGUUUCUUCCUGUUCAGCUGCAGUCACGGUUCUAACCUGGUUCUUCUCACGGCUGGUAUCCUCUGACCUUUUAUGUCUUGGCAAUGACUUCCAUGCAUUUUGGCAGUGACUGCCUGAAUCUCUGAUUCAACCCUGAUCGCAGCCUCUCGGGCUUUCUCGCUCCUUUAAUUCUUUCCGCGGAUGGCCACGGCUUUUGCCGCCUGUACCCUUCCUGGAGCAACCCGUGCUUUUGAAAAAUGACCAUGCCGAAGGGGAACUAACACUCCCAGCCUGGUGCGGGUCUUGUCAAUCUGAUUUUUAAAUGAUGGAGGAGGAGGUUUGAGGACAAAGCUCAUGGUGGCAUUACCACUAUCAGGGACGCUGCAAAGAUCAAGUGAAAAGGGGAAAAGGCUCUUCUCAAUGUGAGCACAUUCACAGGCUCUGAGAACAGAGAGGUAUUUAAAGUGAACUGGAACAAACCUGCAACAUCCGGUGCGUUCUGCCUUCAAAAAUAGCUGCCAGUUAGAAAGGGUUAUUUACAUAUUGAUUUCAUGCUAACUUUGUAAUGGAAUGUGCUGCCUGCCUGCCUGCCUGAGACCUAACAACUGUCAUCAUAAUUUUUUCUAAAAAUACAGUCAGAGAAAAACACUCAUUGAACCCUCCACUGGAAAGUAGCUGCAAAAGACCCCCUGAUCCCAAACCUGCUUGACAGACCACAGCCAAGGGCAGGGACACUCAACAACUGUAAACGAGGAACAUUUCACAGCGGCAGCUGGCCCCUCUCUUCUUCCAACCAGCCAAUAUUUUUUGUCUUUCUAGAAAACCUGUCUUGUUCAAAGGGCGGCAAGUGCAGCCUGAGAGCCCUCCACGGCCUGAUUGCUGAAAGAAUUUCCAAAAGGAAAGAGUGUAAACAGGCUGGAACUUACCAUUGGCUGUCCUGGUCCUCAGGCCUUCGGAGUCAGACUGGAACUACACCAUCGGCUUUCCAGGGUCCCCAGCUUGCCAACUGCAGACCUUGGAAUCAGCCUCAUAAUUGCAAAAACCAAUUUCUUAUCCAAAUAUUAGUAUAUAUAUGUAAUUUCUUACAAGAAAUUUAAGUAAACUUCAUAUGUAUAAUA